CUGCAUGGCUGUCGUCAGCUCGUGUCGUGAGAUGUUGGGUUAAGUCCCGCAACGAGCGCAACCCUUGUCCUUAGUUGCUACGCAGGAGCACUCUAAGGAGACUGCCGGUGACAAACCGGAGGAAGGUGGGGAUGACGUCAAGUCCUCAUGGCCCUUAUGGGUAGGGCUUCACACGUCAUACAAUGGUCGGAACAGAGGGUUGCCAACCCGCGAGGGGGAGCUAAUCCCAGAAAACCGAUCGUAGUCCGGAUUGCACUCUGCAACUCGAGUGCAUGAAGCUGGAAUCGCUAGUAAUCGCGGAUCAGCAUGCCGCGGUGAAUACGUU
rnacentral:rRNA from 1 species